rnacentral:rRNA from 1 species
UACGUAGGGACCGAGCGUUGUCCGGAAUCAUUGGGCGUAAAGAGCGUGUAGGCGGCCACUUAAGUCCUGCGUGAAAUCUUGCGGCUCAACCGCAAGCGGUCGUGGGAAACUGGGUGGCUAGAGUGCGGGAGAGGAGAGUGGAAUUCCUGGUGUAGCGGUGGAAUGCGCAGAUAUCAGGAGGAACACCAAUGGCGAAGGCAGCUCGCUGGGACGUGACUGACGCUGAGACGCGAAAGCGUGGGGGAGCAAACAGG